GGGAGUAAAAUUAUUAUUACAAAUGUUAGGGGGUGAAAUCAAAGCAAAAUAAAGCUCUAAAAAUUAAUUAAGCUCUAAUUGUCUCCUAAAAUCAGGAAAAAGAUUUGCCUAAAGCAUGGUUAAAACAUAAAGAGAAUGUUUAACUUUCCAAAGGGUAAAGUUGAUUAUUUUUCCAAUUGUUUGGGCCAUAGUAGCAGUAUGGGGAAAUUUGGGGGCACAAAUGUAAUUUGUGAACUUGUCUGCAAAUCAGAUUCGAAGAAAGCUCCUGCAAGACUGCAACUGGAAGCUUUUCUUCUUGCUGCUACGACCCAUAUCCGCAGAAACCUCAGACCGAAACAACCAUCAAAACUCAUCAUCAGAUUUUACGUAAAGAAUGAAAAUGAAACCCUUUUCCAUGUAUCACCAAGAGUAAACCCAAUAUGUCAAUCACUAAACAUGAUAUUCAAAGUUCAUCACAUGAAUAAGCAGCCCAGGUUUCAAACAAGAGAACGGCAAGAUAAUCAAGGAAGAAAAAUGAAGAUUUUGAUGCAAAGUUGUAAGGUUGGCUAUUCUUUCAUUGCCUCUCUCAAACUGAUCAAGGAUUAGCAAAAAUACAGCAAAUGAUAAAAAACAGCUUUUAACUAGCAGACGUGAAGAUCCAAACAAUAAAGGCAGCAUAGCUACAAUUAUCAAGCAUUGUCAACAGCAAAACAACUCCAGAUUCACGUCUCAUAGGCUCGGAUUCUCAUGAAAACAGUGUUAAAGCAAUAAAGGGAGAAGUGAUAGUUACCUCAAAACCCUGGUGAAGUAAAUUGAAUGUGAAAUGCCUCCAAGAAAUUGCGCUGAUUCCAGAAAUGCAGUCGCAGAAAUUUCAGCAGUGACACAGUUCAUAUUUUGGGCCGCAAUUUGAGAGGGUUAAAGACUUUUUUACUGAUUGAUUCCUUAACAAAAAUUGUUUGUGGGUAUCCAGAGAUGGUGCAGAAAGAAAGAUCUCAUUCUGAAGAUUGGAGGUUUGGUCGGAAUUUGACUGGAAAGUGAGCUGGUUCGCCAACCUGAUUCCAGAAAAUUUUUUUAGCUUUUCAAUGUUUUUUCUUUUCCUCUCGGUUUUCUCUCUUUUCCUUUCUUUCCUUUCUUGCUCCGCCGCCCUCCUACUCUUCCUCAGACUCUCCCCAGAUCCUCUCUUCCUUUCUUCCUUUUGUUUUCUCCUCUUUCUUCCGCUCUUCCUUUCUUUCUUUUCUUCCCCGCAACUCCCUUUUUCCUCUCUGCGCGAAGCCUCUGGUUUCUCCUCCUGUUUCUUUCUUUUGCUGUUUUUUCUUCCUCCUGCCUCGGCCACCUCCCUCUUCUACCCCUUGUUGUUUUUCCUCAGUCCCUCUUCCUUUUUCUUUCUUUCUCCAGUUUCUCUCCUCCUUGCCCGAAAACCCUUUUUCUUUCUUUUCUCUUGCUUUUUCCUCACAGCCUAGCUCCCACGAAGCUCCUCUCUCCCUUUUUCCCUUGUUCCAGAUUUUUCCUAAGCUCUA
rnacentral:lncRNA from 1 species